GAUGAACGCUAGCGACAGGCCUAACACAUGCGAGUCGAGGGACCGGCGCACGGGUGAGUAACACGUAUGCAAUCCACCUGUAACAGGGGGAUAACCCGGAGAAAUCCGGACUAAUACCCCAUAGUUACAGACGAGCAUGCGCUCCAUUAGCCAGUUGGCGGGGUAACGGCCCACCAAAGCGACGAUGGAUAGGGGUUCUGAGAGGAAGGUCCCCCACAUUGGAACUGAGACACGGUCCAAACUCCUACGGGAGGCAGCAGUGAGGAAUAUUGGUCAAUGGUCGGCAGACUGAACCAGCCAAGUCGCGUGAGGGAAGACGGCCUACGGGUUGUAAACCUCUUUUGUCGGAGAGUAAGUAUCCGAAGAAAAAGCAUCGGCUAACUCCGUGCCAGCAGCCGCGGUAAUACGGAGGAUGCGAGCGUUAUCCGGAUUUAUUGGGUUUAAAGGGUGCGUAGGCGGCACGCCAAGUCAGCGGUGAAAUUUUCGGGCUCAACCCGGACUGUGCCGUUGAAACUGGCGAGCUAGAGUGCACAAGAGGCAGGCGGAAUGCGUGGUGUAGCGGUGAAAUGCAUAGAUAUCACGCAGAACCCCGAUUGCGAAGGCAGCCUGCUAGGGUGCGACAAACGCUGAGGCACGAAAGCGUGGGUAUCGAACAGGAUUAGAUACCCUGGUAGUCCACGCAGUAAACGAUGAAUACUAACUGUUUGCAAGCGGUACAGCGAAAGCGUUAAGUAUUCCACCUGGGGAGUACGCCGGCAACGGUGCAACUCAAAUGAAUUGACGGA
rnacentral:rRNA from 1 species